UACGGGGGGGGCAAGCGUUGUUCGGAAUUACUGGGCGUAAAGCGCACGUAGGCGGAUUGCUAAGUCAGGGGUGAAAUCCUGGAGCUCAACUCCAGAACUGCCUUUGAUACUGGCGAUCUUGAGUCCGGGAGAGGUGAGUGGAACUGCGAGUGUAGAGGUGAAAUUCGUAGAUAUUCGCAAGAACACCAGUGGCGAAGGCGGCUCACUGGCCCGGUACUGACGCUGAGGUGCGAAAGCGUGGGGAGCAAACAGG
rnacentral:rRNA from 1 species